rnacentral:rRNA from 1 species
UGAGGAACAUGACUUUCGGUGGGGAUAGCCGGACCCAACGGCCGGGUAAUACCGCGUACGACCACAUGGGGACAUCCCUGAGUGGUGAAAGCAGCAAUGCGCCGAAAGAGUGCCUCGCGGCCUAUCAGCUAGUUGGUGAGGUAAUGGCUCACCAAGGCGACGACGGGUAGCUGGUCUGAGAGGGUGACCGGCCACACGUGGGACUGAGACACGGCCCAGACUCCUACGGGAGCAG